UCGGCUCCAAUCGGCACACCAGCGCCGCCCUCGACUCGCGCGGCUCGGCUCCUUCCCUCUACAGCGGCUCGAUUCACACAGAACAGAGCAUUCGAUCCCGACUCCUAGACUCUGCGCACAUAGCCGAUCCGCCGCCGCCGCCGCCGCCGGGAUUCGCUUCCGCGCCCGCCACUGGGAAUCGCAUCGCCGCCGCCGGGAGUUGCCUUGACUCCGGGCCACCGCUGGGAGUUGCCCCCGCCGGUCCCUGGAGUCGCAUCCGCCAAGGCCGCUCGUGGCCCAAACUCGCGUACGCAAGAUGUAGUUGUAUCUCUUUGCUACAAUCCGAAGAAGUGGAGGGCAAGGAAAUUGAAUCUUAUUUACUGUCUGUACAAGACUAGAGUCAAUUGGAUUGCUGCUGGGAGAGCUCCAGUCAAGAUGGCGUUGCACAACAUUGGUGCUUCGAACAAGGAUGAUGCCUUGUACAGGUGCAAGAUGCCCAGAAUCUUAACCGAAAUGCAAAGUUGUGUUAGGCAUCAACAUGAGGGAACGAAGAGCGAACAGGAGGCCACCUACUCACGCAACAGCCACACUCCACCGUCGUUCUUCUAUCCGAAGACCCUCAAGUAUACUGCUGGAACAACACAGCUACUGAGAAAACUGUUGAAGAAGACGCAAUGGUUGCUGAUGGAGUAUACUUAGACUAGGAAUGUCAAAUCUUGCAAAUUUGAUGUUGAAUUCAUGACAACUAUUGUACCAACCUAUAGCUGAUUGCUCUCCCUGACAAUGUACUAAUUAGUAUACAAUGUAUCUUUUCCUAUCAAAUUCAUAUGGAUAAUAUAAAAUCUUCAUUUUGCUGGAUGUGUUUAAAAAAAUC